rnacentral:rRNA from 1 species
AUAGAGUUUGAUUCUGGUUUAAGGAUGAACGGGGGGGGCGUCCCCUUAUACAUGCAACUCGGGGCGCAGUGCUAUGCACUGAGUGGCGAACGGGUGAGUAAUACAUAAGCAACCUGCCCCUGUGAGGGGGAUAACUGCUGGAAACGGCAGCUAAGACCGCAUAGGCAUCGAGGUCGCAUGACCACGAUGUUAAAUGUCCCACGGGACAGCACGGGGAUGGGCUUAUGACGCAUUAGCUGGUUGGCGGGGCAGCGGCCCACCAAGGCGACGAUGCGUAGCCGGCCUGAGAGGGUGGACGGCCACACUGGGACUGAGACACGGCCCAGACUCCUACGGGAGGCAGCAGUAGGGAAUUUUCGGCAAUGGGCGAAAGCCUGACCGAGCAACGCCGCGUGAAGGAAGAAGUCAUUCGUGAUGUAAACUUCUGUUAUGAAGGAAGAACGCUGGAUGGAGGGAAUUCCAUGCAGGUGACGGUACUUCAUGAGGAAGCCACGGCUAACUACGUGCCACGAGCCGCGGUAAUACGAGCCGACGUACC